rnacentral:rRNA from 1 species
CUAGCUACAGGCUUAACACAUGCAAGUCGAGGGGCAGCAUGGUCUUAGCUUGCUAAGGCCGAUGGCGACCGGCGCACGGGUGAGUAACACGUAUCCAACCUGCCGUCUACUCUUGGACAGCCUUCUGAAAGGAAGAUUAAUACAAGAUGGCAUCAUGAGUCCGCAUGUUCACAUGAUUAAAGGUAUUCCGGUAGACGAUGGGGAUGCGUUCCAUUAGAUAGUAGGCGGGGUAACGGCCCACCUAGUCUUCGAUGGAUAGGGGUUCUGAGAGGAAGGUCCCCCACAUUGGAACUGAGACACGGUCCAAACUCCUACGGGAGGCAGCAGUGAGGAAUAUUGGUCAAUGGGCGAGAGCCUGAACCAGCCAAGUAGCGUGAAGGAUGACUGCCCUAUGGGUUGUAAACUUCUUUUAUAAAGGAAUAAAGUCGGGUAUGUAUACCCGUUUGCAUGUACUUUAUGAAUAAGGAUCGGCUAACUCCGUGCCAGCAGCCGCGGUAAUACGGAGGAUCCGAGCGUUAUCCGGAUUUAUUGGGUUUAAAGGGAGCGUAGAUGGAUGUUUAAGUCAGUUGUGAAAGUUUGCGGCUCAACCGUAAAAGUGCAGUUGAUACUGGAUAUCUUGAGUGCAGUUGAGGCAGGCGGAAUUCGUGGUGUAGCGGUGAAAUGCUUAGAUAUCACGAAGAACUCCGAUUGCGAAGGCAGCCUGCUAAG